ACAUUGUUGUUUUUGAUUUUAUUUUAUUUUUUUAAUUUUAUAUAUAAAAAAGUAAUUUUUUAUAUAUAUAAUUUACUUUGAAUAAAUUAGAGUGCUUUAAGCAGAUUAAAAAAAUAUUUUGAUAUUUUUUUUUGACGUUUGAAUAAUUUAGCAUAGAAUAAAAUAAUAAGAUUUGAAAGAUAAGAUUUGGUAAUUAUGUAGCAAAUAAUGAUAAAUAGGAAUAGUUGGGGGGUAAUUUGUAUUGAAUAGUCAGAGGUGAAAUUCAAGGAUUUGUUCAAGACAAACAUCAGCGAAAGCAUUUACCAAAGAUAUUUUCCAUUAAUCAUAACGAAAGUUAGGGGAUCGAGAUGAUCAGAUACCGUCGUAGUCCUAACCAUAAACAAUACCAACCAAAGAUAAGAGGUUGU
rnacentral:rRNA from 1 species